rnacentral:lncRNA from 1 species
UAACUUCAUUUUAACACCUGAUUGUUUCUUAUUUCUUUUUAGUUGGAUCUCUUUGUAUUAAAAACCAACCACACCAAACAAAACAAAACAAACAAAAUUUUUAAAAAAAGACACCUAAGGCCAGCAUCCACUUAUUUUACAAAGCAUGAAAUUUCAGUGUUUUACAUAAUUGUGAACGGAGGAGAGUAUAUGGAAGAAGUAUAUUUGAACUGGAAUAAGGAAAAAAUGUGUGCCUUACUCUUUGAAGAUAUUUGUGGACAAUGGCAGUAGGCUGUAUUUCUGAAUUCCUAGAAGAAAUUGGAGAAGUCAUUUACUUUUCUGUGCACUUCAGCCACACUAUUUGUCAGGAGGAGGAAUAUUCAUCUUUCUCUCCCAGGUACUUGGCUUAAUUUAUAUUAGUACAGAACUUUUCAUUUUAUAUCAUAUUUCAUAUAAAAAU